rnacentral:rRNA from 1 species
AUUGAACGCUGGCGGAAUGCUUUACACAUGCAAGUCGAACGGCAGCACGGGGGCAACCCUGGUGGCGAGUGGCGAACGGGUGAGUAAUACAUCGGAACGUGCCCGGUCGUGGGGGAUAACGUAGCGAAAGUUACGCUAAUACCGCAUACGAUCUGAGGAUGAAAGCGGGGGACCUUCGGGCCUCGCGCGAUCGGAGCGGCCGAUGUCAGAUUAGGUAGUUGGUGGGGUAAAGGCCUACCAAGCCGACGAUCUGUAGCUGGUCUGAGAGGACGACCAGCCACACUGGGACUGAGACACGGCCCAGACUCCUACGGGAGGCAGCAGUGGGGAAUUUUGGACAAUGGGCCCAAGCCUGAUCCAGCCAUUCCGCGUGCAGGACGAAGGCCUUCGGGUUGUAAACUGCUUUUGUAUGGAACGAAAAGGCUCUGGCUAAUACCUGGGGCUCAUGACGGUACCGUAAGAAUAAGCACCGGCUAACUACGUG